rfam:Drosophila mojavensis strain TSC#15081-1352.22 Ctg01_10183, whole genome shotgun sequence.
UGUCUUAUGAUGAUAAGUUCAAUCUGAACAAAAUGCUGUGUUGUCUCUUAACUAAAAAUUAAACCAAAAGGAUACUGAUAAUA